GUCACUGUGCCCGGCCUGGAAUGUUUACAAUCUUUUAAUAGUUAAAAGUGGCAAAGGCUUGGGGAGAGAAUGGCCUUCCCAAAACUCCAUGCUCAGAAAAAAAGGGAUAAUGUAUCUAAAUAACCUGCCAGAGUUCUGUUUCUCCCAGAGACAUCAUUAGCCCUCUGGGGGCUUUUGUGCAAAUUAGGAAAAGUAGCCCCUCUUGAAGUAUGCCCUUCCUAGAAUGCAGACAUUUCCUUUUUCUGGAGCUCUGUUCAGAGCCUUGAUGUCUUCCACUGGAGGCUGGUGAAUAUAGGAUUAUUCGAGGAAUAUGUUGGCAGAAUUGCCAAGAAGGCAGCUAUUGUAGACCCAAAGAUUAACUACUUCAGGCAGUAUGCAGAUGAGAAUUAGGACAAUGACAGUUGAAUAAACAAAUAUGAGUCAUAUAAAAGCUGAAUUAUAUGGCAUGAUACAGUGGCCCGCGAUCUUUUUUGGCACCAGGGACCAGUUUCAUGGGAGACAGUUUUUCCACAGAUCAAGGAGGUUGGUGGUUUUGGGGUAAAACUGUUCCACCUCAGAUCAUCAGGCCUUAUUAGAUUCUCAAAAGGAGCAUGCAACCUAGAUCCCUCACAUGCAUAGUUCACAACAGGGUUUGCAUGCCUAUGAGAAUCUAAUGCUGCUGCUGAUCUGACAGGAAACUCAGGCAGUAAUGCUUGCUCACCUGCUGCUCACUUCCUGCUGUAUGGCCAGGUUUCUAACAGGCCAUGGACCAGUACAGGUCUGUGGCCCGGGGGUUGGGGAGCCCUGAUAUAAUAGAAAUAGAUCUCUCUCCCCCUGACAUCAGCAAGUUGUAUGCUUUCUAAGCAUUAUUCUCCUGCCUACUGAAAACUAUAUUUAGACUAAACCAAGAAAGAUAUUGCACUGAAGAUCUCACAAAAAGCCUGAGUUACAAGUCUCAGAGGUAGAAGAAAGUAAAUUUGCCAAACUAGGCUGUCUAUUCCUCCACCAGAGACAGUACCAUUGCAGGCCUGUGAUGAAGGGGUGAAGACAAGUGUCCAUGGUGCUGCAGUAGGCCCCAGAGUCCAGAGUCCUGGGUCCCUUGCACGGAAGACCCUUGUUAGCUUCCUUCAUGUCUGCAUGCAUCAAAGGAAACUAGCAUGGACCUCAGGCACCUCACAAGAUGGGCUGUGUCUUUUCAUGGGGACUAUAGAUAUGUGAAAGCAUUCAGGAGGACAUAAAACAUGUUCUCUAAGAGGGAGCCUUUGUAUUCAGCUCCCUGUGGUCAGGGACUGCAUUUUUGGAGCCAAGCUCCAAAAAUAUUUGAACAGUCAAACCACUCCAGUGUACUAAAGAGAAAUGAGAAAAGGUAGUUUCUGCUCUGGGUGAAGAGUCAUUGAGAAAGUUCUUCCUCCCUACCUUGGUUCCUAUACAUCUUAGUCCCAUCAGAUUUUGCUGAUAAGCCUUACUUGACACAUGUGGGAAACAUUUUCACUAGAGGUUAAAGGAAGCUGGUUUGGGACUGAAGCAAACGGCUAUGCAAGGUCAUACUGAGUUCAGCUCAGAGUCUCACAUCUCAAAUAUUCUUUCCACACCCUUCUUCUGGGGCAGUGGCCUCUACUGAACCUGAAGGUGUAACUUCUCUCGGGUGACAUGGAGUGCAUGCCCGGCAAUGCCUCAAGAGCUGCAGGGCAGGGUGAUACAGCCCCAGGGAGUGGCUACCUUCACUAAGAAGCAGGUUUCUAAAACCAGCAUUUCAGGAUCCUCCAGGCAUCCCUUUGGCCUGCUCACCUCCAGCUUCUGUGUCCUAUAGCACAGUAUUUACUGACAGGGAGAGCCCUUCUGCCAGCCAAACCUGCACAGUGCCCCAAGCACAGGGCAAGUGGGUGACCAAGGGCUAUGUUACAGGCCCCUUUCCAGCAGCCAAAGGACACGCAUCCCAAAUUUGAUGGGGUUUUUGCCCUUGGUACCCAUAGACUUUCAAUUUUCUGGAGUAGCUCCACCUUUUGUUAUGGUUUGGUAAACAAAAGGCAGUCAUCAGGAAGCCACUAAUACAAAUGUCACCAUGCACAUCACCCUGCCGAAAACCAACAGCAGCCUGUUCAAAUGCUACAGGAUAUUGAGAAAAUGAUGAGGAGGCACUGAAGACAAAAAAGCCAAGCUUCUCCUCUUCCUGGUCAUGCUGCAGACAGCUUACUGGCUUGGCAGCCCUCCAACUCUGCUUCCUUUUCUAGAAGCUCUAGGUACCCAGGCUGCAAAGCUGUGCUGCCUGCCUGCUCAUUCCGAGCACGUUUGCACUCUGCUUUGAAGGGGCCAGCCAUAAAUAAAGCACAGGCUGGGGAUUCCUGGGCAGGCUUGCAUAAUCACAGCCCUUCCUUUGAAAGGGGGAACCAUAUUCUGAUAUGUGCCUGUGGCUGGUGGUUUAACUUUAAAUCUGUCACCGGUAGCUGGUCAAAAGGUUUUAUUCUCUGUAGCCCCCAAGUUUGGCAGACAGGCCUUUUCAAAAUGGAAAUAUCUCCCUGAUCCACUGAUAGGCAGUUUGGAGACGGUGUGCUGAUGCCAAUUAAAGCACACUGUGGUGUUCUAUUCCUCUUGCCUUGGUGCAGGCUACAUCCUCUGCCCCAAGGAACAUCCACCCAUCCUCAAGGCCAAGUCCAACUCUCUCUCUAAGAUUCAGAUCAGAUCCCUUCACUGAACGAAUAUAGAUAGAUUAAGCACUCCCUUUGUGAGCCUGAGAGAUGUGCUCUGUGCCAUCAUUGAACUAUCAGUCUGCCAGGGAAGAUGACAAAAGUGAUAUGUGUACAGCCUACAGAUGUAUCUGCUAUGGCAGUAACUUCAUCUGAGUAGGAGUUAGAAGGUGACAGAAGAAUUUCACUUCUCCCCAAAUCCUUCCUGGCUUUCCCUGGGCACUAUGAUUGCUCCCUUCUUGUGUUUUGUCAAAGGCACAUAUCCCAUCUGCUCACUGUGUGAUAUUUCUACACGUUGCCUGCCUCCCAUCCCUCUCACCCUUGCCAUUUUAUUAAGAGGUCUUCAAGGUCAUGGACUGUCCUAUGAAUCAAUUAUCUGGCAAAUGUUCAAUAAUUGAAAUAAAUAAAUCUCUGAAAAUUUUUUUGCUCUGAAAAGCAACUGUUGUCUACCUAACACCAAGUGAUCAAUAGGCUUUUAAAAAUCUCUGAGUAAUCUCAGAAGUGACAGUGUAUUUGACUAUAUGGAACAGGAUCCACGUGGAUCCACGUGGAUGAGCAGAUCCACGUGAUGAGCAGGUGAGCAAAAGCAACAUUGGUAGUUAAUGCAAGGAUGAGUUAAUGGAGGCAGUGGGGUGAGGGAAACAGGGCAGGGUGUCUUCACAGCCACUGAAUCAGAGGUUAAAACAGCCAGCAGCAAGGGCUAGGGCACAGGCAAAUAUCAGGGCAGGUUUCACCCUAGUGUUUCUGAAUUAUUUGCAUCCAAAUGAUGAGGCAGUUUACUGAAAUUGUGUGGAAGUUAUUUCAAUGCCACAAAGAUAUUUAAAAUUAUAUUAACUCAUUUGUACAGAAUGCUGAAUACUACAUCUUGAUAGUAAUUAGCAAACUCAAUACAGUUAUGACAUGAUCAGUUGCAAAUAACCUAAAACAUUCUCAAAUGUUAAUGUAUAAAUGAAUUAUCUAGGCAUCUUGAUAAAAUUCAAAUUCUGACUUAAUAGUGGGUUGUGAUUCUGUAUUUCACCCAAGUUCCAAGGUUCCAUUGGUCCAUAGAUCUCACUUUGAGUAGCCCCUACUAAAAGUGCAGGAGAAAAAGUUGUGAUUUUGACAGAAGGCACUAUUACUCUUCUUUUAAAAUUGUAUUUAUUCAUUAAAUAUUUUCAAACUGUGAAAUUAAUGGUCAUUAUGGUGAAUUUGGGAACUGUAAAACAUACCAUGAAAAAAUAUUAAAUCAUCUUCAAUCUCAACGUCCAGAGAUAAUCUGUAUAAAUAUUUUGAUGUGUUUCCUUCUAAUCCCUUUUACUUUUGCAUCUUACUCUCCACAAUUUUUCUAUCUUGAUAUUGUUUCUUUUUAAAUUGUAGAUGAUUCACAUGUUGUUAUGUUAUUUGAAAAAUAUGGUUUGUAUCAUGCCAUACAUUCAGUCCUCCAGAGCACAGCAGUUAAAGAACGAGUUCCUGCCCUUGUUUUUAGUGAAAGAAAGCAGUAAAUAUAAAAUCAGGGAAGGAAGAGGGUCAGAAUCAGAGAGGUCAUGGACAAUGAAAGCCGAGGUCAGAGAAAU
rnacentral:lncRNA from 10 species